rnacentral:ncRNA from 1 species
GAUCGGGAGAGAUCGCAGUUGCGGCGCCGAAGGGGAACGCAGAAGCUCUCAGGCAAAAGGACCGGUU